rnacentral:tRNA from 1 species
GCCAAAGUAGCUCAGUUGGGAAAGCAUUAAACUGAUGAUCUAAAGGCCCCAGUUCAAUCCCAGGCUUUGGUA